CAGUGGGGAAUAUUGCACAAUGGGGGAAACCCUGAUGCAGCCAUGCCGCGUGUGUGAAGAAGGCCUUCGGGUUGUUAAAGCACUUUCAGUAGGGAGGAAGGUAGUGUAGUUAACACCUGCAUUAUUUGACGUUACCUACAGAAGAAGCACCGGCUAACUCCGUGCCAGCAGCCGCGGUAAUACGGAGGGUGCGAGCGUUAAUCGGAAUUACUGGGCGUAAAAGCGCAUGCAGGCGGCCUGUUAAGUCAGAUGUAGAAAGGCCCGGGGCUUAACCUCGGAAUUGCAUUUUGAAAACUGGCAGGCUAGAGUCUUGUAGAGGGGGUAGAAUUUCAGGUGUAGCGGUGAAAAUGCGUAGAGAUCUGAAGGAAUACCAGUGGCGAAGGCGGCCCCCUGGACAAAGACUGACGCUCAGAUGCGAAAGCGUGGGGAGCAAACAGGAUUAGAUACCCUGGUAG
rnacentral:rRNA from 1 species